rnacentral:rRNA from 1 species
GACGAACGCUGGCGGCGUGCCUAACACAUGCAAGUCGAGCGGGGUUGAAGCGAGGGGUAACUCGGACUUCUACCUAGCGGCGGACGGGUGAGUAACGCGUGGGCAACCUGCCUCAAGGUUUGGGAUAACAGCUCGAAAGGGCUGCUAAUACCGGAUAUGCCUGUGGCCUCGCAUGGGGCUAUGAGCAAAGGGGAAACCCGCCUUGAGAUGGGCCCGCGUCCCAUCAGCUAGUUGGUGAGGUGAAGGCUCACCAAGGCGACGACGGGUAGCCGGCCUGAGAGGGUGACCGGCCACACUGGGACUGAGACACGGCCCAGACUCCUACGGGGGGCAGCAGUGGGGGAUCUUGCACAAUGGGCGAAAGCCUGAUGCAGCGACGCCGCGUGAGCGAAGAAGGCCUUCGGUUGUAAAGCUCUGUCUGGAGGGACGAAGAAAUAGACGGUACCUCCGGAGGAAGCCACGGCUAACUACGUGCCAGCAGCCGCGGUAAAGUCACGUCG